AAAGUAAUAAAGCCAGAACGGCAGAGUUACAAGAUGCUGAAAACAGCUUACAAACAUCAAGGACCAAGCAAAUGAAAGAUUACAAAGAACACAACUUGGCUUCGAUGCCAUCAUCUAAAGGAGAAGGCAAAGCGAAGUAGAGGCAAUGACAGACAAGUGGGAGGUGCACUAGUGAGCUGGAGUACCCAGGCAUAACCGAGACAUGUCUAGUUUCUUCUUUUCUGCCGAUAAGCAUUAGUUGUGCAACGGAUUUCCUAUCACUGGAAUGUUGCCUUUGAGAGCAUUUUUGUAGCAAAUAAGACUGCAGUAUGGUGCGGUGGCUGCAAUGCUUGGCCUCAGGACAACUCUUGGUGCUGCUACUGUGAUGGGCACAACUUCUGGUGCCUCCUCAUUCAGCUUUGUCCUUGCUAACUUGCGAUGUUGGAAAGCGAUGGCCUUCCUCUACAUCUCAGUGUUUUGGUGUGCAGGUUGCUGAGCUGAGUGAGAUUGAGAGGCGCUGGCUCAAGAUGGGCUGACCUGGAUGAUGCCCCGAGGUCCUGCAAACGAGAAUGCCGAGUUGGGCCUGGCAGUUGGCGAGCCCCCUCCUGCCCUAAC